GCCUGGGAGUGUCGCCAACUGUGAUGACUCCAAUAUACACUAUCCUGCAAUCCGGCGAACUCGAGCAGAUAGGGACAUGAGUGCCCCAGGACUCGGACGGCGGCAAAUGCAAAUUGAAACACAGCUGAAAUGGCAAAAAUGAAUCCGA
ensembl:snoRNA snoRNA:Me18S-G1506 snoRNA:Me18S-G1506